AGAAGGUAGGCUGAGAUACAGACUGGGAGAAGGUAGGCUGAGAUACAGACUGGGAGAAGGUAGGCUGAGAUACAGACUGGGAGAAGGUAGGCUGAGAUACAGACUGGGAGAAGGUAGGCUGAGAUACAGACUGGGAGAAGGUAGGCUGAGAUACAGACUGGGAGAAGGUAGGCUGAGAUACAGACUGGGAGAAGGUAGGCUGAGAUACAGACUGGGAGAAGGUAGGCUGAGAUACAGACUGGGAGAAGGUAGGCUGAGAUACAGACUGGGAGAAGG